AGGGCUAUAGCUUAAUUAAAGUGUUUGUUUUGCAUGCAAGAGAUGUGGGUUAGUACCCUGCUAGUCUUA
rnacentral:tRNA from 1 species